rnacentral:rRNA from 1 species
GACGAACGCUGGCGGCGUGCCUAAUACAUGCCAGUAGAACGCUGAAGGAGGAGCUUGCUUCUCUGGAUGAGUUGCGAACGGGUGAGUAACGCGUAGGUAACCUGCCUGGUAGCGGGGGAUAACUAUUGGAAACGAUAGCUAAUACCGCAUAAUAGUAGAUGUUGCAUGACAUUUGCUUAAAAGGUGCAAUUGCAUCACUACCAGACGGACCUGCGUUGGAUUAGCUAGUUGGUGGGGUAACGGCGCAACAAGGCGACGAUACAUAGUCGGCCUGCGGGGGGGAACGGCCCACCUGGGAAUGAGACACGGCUCCGACUCCUACGGGAAGCAGCAGUAGGGAAACUUCGGCAAUGGACGGAAGUCUGACCGAGCAACGCCGCGUGAGUGAAGAAGGUUCUCGGAUCGUAAAGCUCUGUUGUAAGGGAAGAACGAGUGUGAGAGUGGAAAGUUCACACUGUGACGGUAUCUUACCAGAAAGCGACGGCUAACUACGUG